UCCAACAAAGGAACCUAGGCCUUCUGAAAAUCCUAUUUUGAAAAUUGUUUGAUUUGGAUUCAUGUCAAAAUAUUUCAAAGAUCCAUUUUGUAUAAUUGAAAUAGUAAUUGUGAAAUUCAACUUGAUAUAGCCUAGAUUUUAGUCCUACUCAUAAUAUUCUGUAUGUAUAAAUGAUUAUUUUUUCAAUGAGGUUUAUAGGCAUAUUAGUCAAAUAUUGGAUAUGUAGCAUUAAACAAUAUAAAAUUUGUUUAUAGUAGGGGUGCACUGGAUAGUACUUUUUUAUAUCCGGCCGGAGCCGAAUACCUAAGUGUCUUGUAAAUAGCUUGUAUUGCUGAGCAUUUUACGAAACUGUUAAUAACAUACCUAUAUUUGUUUGUUUUUUUCUCCUUUUAUAUACCUUAUUGUUUUAAACUCUGUUACUGAUUGAUUUAUAAAAGAUUAACAGUAUAAACAAAAAUUAAUCUGUGUAGCAUGAGCGUGUCUGUAUGUAUGUACAAGGCCACCAACUAUAAAGGCUGUGUGUUGGAGGGUCAAUGUAAAAUAUGUUAGUAAAUAUUUAACUAGUUACUAAUGUAAAUCUCUCAUCUGGCUUGUAUGGUGGUUGGAUGUAUGUGUUCAAGAAUUUCUGACCAACAACUGGUCAUCAGACUUGUAAUUUUAAGUCCAAAGACUGCUUCUGGAUUCAAGGGCAUAAUACUGAUAGCUGUUAGUUAAUAGUUGGAAUCUGAAGCGUUGUAGGUCAUAUAUUUAUUAAUCCAUUUGCGGCAAACGAUAUUUUAUUAACAGCAGGAACAUCUAUUAUACCUACUCAUAGCCAGAGCCUUAAAUGUUGCGAAACAUAGAUUUAAUUGUAGUCUGUAGGCCUUUUAUUGAUAUCUAUGUUUAGAUCUACUGUUAUAUAGAUCUAAGAGAAUUAGGAAAACCAAAAAAACAAAAACAUAUUUGUUUUAUUUUAUUGUGCAACGAACGUUUGUUCAGCGCCCUAAAUGACAUUUCUCUCCAAGUAAACAAACUUAGUCUCAUCAUCUAGUUACCUCUAGACAGUGUCAAUAUUUCUCAACAAUCUGCGUUAAUCCAUUCUGGCUUAAGAAUGGUCAAUGUCUAUUAAUACAUUGUCAUGGAUUAAACAAAUAAGAAGUUGAGCGUGUUGAGUCUCUUGAGCCCUCCCUUUAAAGAUACCCCUGGUCAGUGUCUGUUUGGCUUGUAGUCCAGCCUCCUAAUUGAGACUUAAAGUAAACAAACUUAUUGUCCCGGCCAAAAGUAUAAAAGGUGUGGCAUGUGGUCCAGACCCUUGAUUGACAACCUAUCUCAUAAUAAACAAACUCAUACCAGAUUAACCUUAUAAAGAUUUGGCUUGUAGUCCCGCCCCUAAUAAAAAUUCUUCUCCAAGUAAACAAACUCAGUUCCCUCAUAAGAUGUGACCUCUGGAAAGUGUCAACACGUUGACAUCUGGCUUGAUGUGGUAAGCUGCCUAUCUGUGAACUCAAUGUUAUGGACUAUACAAACAAAAAGAGGUGGGGGUUGCUCAUCUCUACCUCUGGAGAUAUACCCGCACAUCUAGACAGAUUAUCAGCGUGGCGUAGUUAAGGAAUAUUACAUGUUUACUAGACCACUCAAAAGUCAAGACAAGCUUUUAAAAUGUGCAUGACAUCGUUGCUAUGUCUUAUAUUUUUGUGGAAAUAAAUUUUACUAGUGGAGUUUUUGUAGCUGCCAGAGUGGAUCAAGGUGGAUGUGAUAUCUAUUUAUAAACAUGUAUACCAGUAUAUUGUAAUCAGUGAUUUUCAUUUUUUGGUAACAGUUUGUUUCCAUUUAGAUUGCAGUCUUUCUUAUGUGAAAACAAGAUGUCUGCAUAAUCUUAGAGGACAUUUUUAAACUCAUUUAAAUUUAUUAGAUGAAAUAUUUAUAAAACAUACAAUGUAAAUUGUUUUGUAAAAUGAUUAUACAUUUGAGUUCAUAAAAAUGUGUAAUUUUUUAAUGGCAUCAUGUUUCUGCUUAUCUGUAUCUGAUACUGAUGAUGUGUUUUCUAAAUCUAUUACUGCUUCACCAUUGAGGAAAAACUGCACAUGUUUAAACCCAUAUCUGAAGUAACUUUCCAGAAAAAAAAAGAUGUAUGUUGGACUGUGUCCAAAAUUUCAAAUCAUUUCCUUCAAAAUGUUAUCAAUUUCCUCCAUAACUUCAUAACAUUAUUGAAUUUUUUCCUUCAGAACACAAUUGUAAAUUAUCUUUUUUUUUUUUGUUAAACCACAAUGAGAGUCUAAUAACUAAUAGUCUAGCAAACAAUUACUUAUAAUUUGCCUUAUUAUUAUACAAUAUUAAGAUUUACUUCUGCAGGGAUGAAAAACUUUUUUUUAAAUACAAUAGACAUGUAUAAUAAUAAAGUACAUUCACACCUGACUCACUCAUAAUUUACAUGUGAAAAGUUUAUAUCAGAUUGUUUCUAUUUAAUGAUUUGAUUGCCAUCAGUGUCUUGUAUCUCUUUUGUGAUGGUAAAGUCACAAAAUGUAGGAAACCCCACUGUGUUUGGUCCAGUAUGUGGGUUAUUAUAUGUAAGUCUAUUGUAUUUUCUAUAUUAUUUUACAAAUGUAAAAAAAAUAAAAAGAAAUUGUUACACUGUU